UCCCUGGUGGCUCAGUUGAUAAAGAAUCCUGCUUGAAAUGCAGUUGACCCAGGUUCAAUCCCUGGGUGGGGAA
rfam:Ovis aries breed Texel chromosome 7, whole genome shotgun sequence.